rnacentral:sRNA from 1 species
AUAAACUUAAUUCAACGUCACACAUAUAUCGUCACAAUCGCCUGGGUGCCUUUCGGGGUUGGUGGAUUGGGGUAUAUGGAGGCCUAAC